GGUAUGUGUGUUCUGGUCGAUGUUUACACAGAGCAAGAAAGGGGUUCCUUCUUUGAACCCUAAACUCACAAUUUGAUCAAAAUCAGAGGGAAAACAAGCUAGGAAUUUGGGGCUUUUACUAAAUCCGCGAUCACCAAGACAAGGGGAUCAUAAGUUUGACGCUUAACAAGCUAGUUGGAGGCUUGGAAAGGAAGCGGGUCAAACGAAUCAAGUAUCAAGAAAAAGCGCGUUUCGGAAUGAAAGGUAAGUAAAACUUACACCUUCUAGAAUAGAAUACUUACUUGUAUAAUGGAUAGCAUUGUGAAUGAUAAAAUGGACAUGGUUUUCGCGGGCAUUUUGUCAAUAAAAUAGUUAUUGAUAGCAAACAGGUCCGUUAUAUGCAAAACUGUUUCGGGGUCUUAAACACUUAGUUUUGACUCCAUAUGUGGUCAGAAGUUGUAUAACAACAAAAAUGAUGAUUGGUAAUAUUUAUAAAUUUUUCGGAAGUUGUUUAACAUGGUUUUCGCGGACGUUUUGUCAACAAAAUAGUUGUUGACCGCAAGCAGGUCCGUAUUUGCAGAAAUUGUUUCGAAGCCUUAAACACUUAGUUUUGACUCAAUAUUUGGUCAGAAGUGGUAUAACAAUAUAAAUGAUGAUUGGUAAUUUUUAUAAGCUUUUCGGAAGUUGUUUAACGCGGUUUUCGCGGACGUUUUGUCAACAAAAUAGUUGUUGAUAGCAAGCAGGUCUGUAUUUGCAGAAAUUGUUUCGAAGCCUUAAACACUUAGUUUUGACUCAAUACUUGGUCAGAAGUUGUAUAAUAAUAUAAAUGAUGAUUGGUAAUAUUACGUAUUGUUAAGUGUUACAAAUACAGGCAAGCGGAAAGUAUGAGGAUGUGACAACCCGUAAUUCUGGGGUUAGUUAACUUAGAUUCCAUAACCUCUGACGCAUAUCUCGGUAUCUAAUUAUUUAAUUUAUUUCGCGAUCCUACAAAUUCAUUUAUUUAAGUGUGCACUCGAAAUCAUUUAUUGGACCUCACAUACCCGACCCACUUAAGUUUAACUUGUGUAUGUGACAAUCGGACCUUAUGGGCUUUAGCAAGUCUAAGCAAGUCUCGUAUAUUCUUUAACUUGUUAGGCCCAUAUAUCUUGUUCGCUAAAAAUGAACCGCCGGCCCAACUCAUUCAUUGUUUGUUUACGGUUUGUUUAGGAAAGGGAACCGGCCCAACAUAACGUAUUGGUUGUUUAGAUUGAGUAAUUAAUCAGCCCAACUCCCCUAUUGUUUAGGCAUACGUAUUGUAAUCUUAAUCUAAUUCUGAUGAGUUUAAAACAAAAACAAACCCUACCCUUCUCUCUCUCAAAAUCACGGACGGCAGAUAACCUUCAUCCCCAUCAAAGUGAUCUCCCACCUUUGAGGCAGCACUUGUAAAUUGGCAAUUGAGUGGUAUGAAUGUUAUUAUUUUACGUGCCUUAUGUUGUGUGUGUAUAUGCUGUUUAAUACAUGAGAUUAUGAAUGAUUGCAACCUGCUUGAACAAGAGUAAUGUUGUGAAAGAUGAUCAUAUGUGCGAUUGAAUACAAUGGAGAUUUCAUGUGUUAUUAAUAAUCGGAUUAUGGCGGUAGGAUUAGUUAAUGCAAUUAAUGUGAUCAUGUGGUAGCCUUGUAUUAUCGAUAACAUAGGGUUAUUUUUACAAGAAAUAGUAGGUGAACACAUCAUAUAGAUAUGGCUUCUUGAACGAUACAUAGAAAUCGGUUGGAAGAAAAAUUGAUAAUGUUGUCGUGCAUAAUGAUUGUAGUGGCUGGGUUAAUUAGAAAAAUAGGAGAAGGGGUGGGGUAGGGCUGCAUGAUUCAUCUAAUGAAGAUGAGUUGAUGGCCACGUGCAUGAAGUCCCAUUAACAUGUGGGUAGUCUGCCAUAAAUUUGAAUGGUCCAAUUAAAACAAAGGAGGUAGUGUUUGGUCCAAUGAUUGUCAAGAUUAGUGGCAUGCAAUUAGUUGGCUUAUACUUUGGGUGAUUUAUUUGUGAGUAAUAUGUGUAUGUACGGUUAAGUUACUUUAAGGAUCAUGUGCAUGGGCUUGACAAAUUAAUGAACUGAUUAAUUUAUGUUGAUUAGUUAGUGGAUAUUUACUAAUUGUUUUGAUGAUUGUGUUUGCACAUGAAAGCUUAUCGAAUGAUCUAGGAUGUACGCAUGAGUGUAUGGAAACUGUUAUAUAUAUGUGGAUAUGUGAAUGAUGUGCAAACCAUUAUGUGUGCGAUGGAUGGUGUGUAGCCAUGAUUAUAAUCAGAUUUGAUAUUGAUAGUAGGAUCUCAUACGUGUCACUUGAUUAUCGAAGAGUAUGUUAGUGGGUUAUGAUAUAGGGUUAUGUGUGUUACUAGUUUGCAUGAGAAUUUAUGGUAUGUGUUUAUUAAUAGCUUAAUAUGGGUGCAACUGAUCAAUGUCAAUGUAUAUAUAUGUGUGGGUUUAAUCUGAUAGGGGGUCAUGAGCAUAUGCAUAAAUAUUAGGGUAUAGAUUUCUGUUGGUUAUUUAUCCAAGAAGGGGCACAAGUCAAAACCCAUUUUCUCAAUUUGAUGGCACUAGUGGUCUAGUAGCCAUAGGGUUCCAUGUGCUAUGCUACAUAUCUAAAUUAAUUAUACCCAUGUAAAUUAUUAAAUGGUGGGUUACAUGAAUAAGCAAAAUUUCGAGGAUCUAGUGUGAGGUCCAGAAACUUAUGAGAUGAUGUCACAAUAACAAUUGACUAAAUUGAGUUGCACUACUACUUGUCACAACUAACAUGAUAGUUUAAAGGUGAACUGAGCUACUUGAUUUGGGCUAUGAUGUAAUGUGAACUUGCAUCAUGAAUGUAAUAAUAAUCUGGAUAUCUCCGAUGACUUAAGUAAUGAUAUAUGCUAAGUUUGCUGUUACUUGAGUUCGGUGUGCAAUAAAUGUGCUUGAUGUGAACAAUGAAUACGUGGAAUUAAUUGUGCGUGAAAGGUGUGGUACAUGUGCGUGUAGAACUGACUGUUGUCGGUAACCUUUUUAGGGCGUGUUUGGUUCGACUAAUAAACAAGAUCUUUAAUCUUACCGAGCAAACCAAAGGUGAGUUCACUGCACUUUUCUCAAGCAUGCGUCCCGGUGGUUUGGGACAACCGGUAAACAUUUGGAAGGGAAACAUUGGGUAAAUAACUUAAUCGGUUUUGGUUAUUGCCUGGAGGGCAAUGGGGGUGAUUAGUUGAUAGCGCUAUUAGGUGGGAAACCUCACACCGGGCCGUAAGGACGGGCGUGAACUAAUUAUCUGGGUAUGGCUAUGGUUGUUAGAGGCACACUCCUCGGAUACAUAUGGGCACUCUCCCUAGGGUAUCUAACGAAGGCAACAUAGCAAUCGGUCGUUAAGGGGUACCCACUCCCCGGAUACAUAUGGGCACAUUCCCUAGGGUAUCUAACAUGAGCAACAUUGUAACGCAACAUUGAAUCGCAUUAACAUACAUCUGGUAACUCAACCCGUUAACAAAACCUUGAACUCACCAGCGUAGUCUGACACACUUGUUUACAUGCUUGUAGGUAAUUACUGAAGGAACUUGGGAACUUGCUGUCUGAUGCUGCUGGAGUGGUUGUGGUCAUGAUAAACAAUUACAUUGAUGUGGUUUCGAUACAUUUACACACUUAUACAUUUAUGCUUCCGCUCAAUACUUUGGUUUUGGUUAAACUUUUCAAACGUUAUAUUUAUUUCAAUUGGGUAUUUCAAUACAUUAUGACUUGUGUUUGAUAUGAUUGGUGGCUCUUUGUUGGAUCGUUGCACCUCCAAUAGGGACAUACCCUAGGUGGUAAUUUGGGGGUGUGACAGAGCAUGUUUUGCCAAAGUUGGCGAAAAGUAAUGCAAUGUAUUAAAAACGAGUCAAUAUUGACCCGUGCCAGGUACGCACAAGGAAUGAUACUCUCGUGAAUGGUACAUGUACCAACCAUAAUAUGGAUUAUGGUCGGAGGAAAUAGGAGUUGAUAAAAUUAUAUUUUGAUAUAAAUACCCAUAACGGGUUAAAUAAUUCGGUUUAAGAACCGGAAAUUUGAAUUCGAAGGAAACAAGAAUUUUGAAUAUCGGAUGAAUGAAUUGGAUGGAAAUAUGUUUAUAACUUGUUGUGAAACUAUCAAAACUAACUUUUACGUUGGUUUUGAUUUUAGGAAUGUCUUAUGGAACUCCGGAUGAGGAUCAAGCAAGAAAGGAGAACCGAACACAUGUCUCGAAGCUUCCGCAACGAUCUUUUUUUGUUCUAGUUUAUAAAGUGGAUAUUGUAAACUCUUGAAAUUAUAUUUUGGAAUGUUUUAAAUUAUGCAAGAAGUUUAACUUGGAAAAGUUUUUGUAAUCUUGAAUUU
rnacentral:lncRNA from 1 species